AGAGUUUGAUCCUGGCUCAGAGCGAACGCUGGCGGCAGGCUUAACACAUGCAAGUCGAGCGGGCGUAGCAAUACGUCAGCGGCAGACGGGUGAGUAACGCGUGGGAACGUACCUUUUGGUUCGGAACAACACAGGGAAACUUGUGCUAAUACCGGAUAAGCCCUUACGGGGAAAGAUUUAUCGCCGAAAGAUCGGCCCGCGUCUGAUUAGCUAGUUGGUGUGGUAACGGCGCACCAAGGCGACGAUCAGUAGCUGGUCUGAGAGGAUGAUCAGCCACAUUGGGACUGAGACACGGCCCAAACUCCUACGGGAGGCAGCAGUGGGGAAUAUUGGACAAUGGGCGCAAGCCUGAUCCAGCCAUGCCGCGUGAGUGAUGAAGGCCCUAGGGUUGUAAAGCUCUUUUGUGCGGGAAGAUAAUGACGGUACCGCAAGAAUAAGCCCCGGCUAACUUCGUGCCAGCAGCCGCGGUAAUACGAAGGGGGCUAGCGUUGCUCGGAAUCACUGGGCGUAAAGGGUGCGUAGGCGGGUCUUUAAGUCAGGGGUGAAAUCCUGGAGCCCAACUCCAGAACUGCCUUUGAUACUGAGGAUCUUGAGUUCGGGAGAGGUGAGUGGAACUGCGAGUGUAGAGGUGAAAUUCGUAGAUAUUCGCAAGAACACCAGUGGCGAAGGCGGCUCACUGGCCCGAUACUGACGCUGAGGCACGAAAGCGUGGGGAGCAAACAGGAUUAGAUACCCUAGUAGUCC
rnacentral:rRNA from 1 species